ACUCCUACGGGAGGCAGCAGCUAAGAAUCUUCCGCGAUGGUCGAAAGGCUGACGGAGCGACGCCGCGUGGACGAUGAAGGCCUGACGGUUGUAAAGUCCUUUUCUCUACGAGGAAUAAGGGUGGGAGUGGAAAGCCCAUCUGAUGACGGUAGUGGAGGAAUAAGCACCGGCUAAUUACGUGCCAGCAGCCGCGGUAAUACGUAAGGUGCGAGCGUUGUUCGGAAUUAUUGGGCGUAAAGGGCGUGUAGGCGGCAUAUCAAGUCCGGUCUGAAAGGUCACGGCUUAACUGUGAUAGUGGGCUGGAAACUGGUGAGCUAGAGUUCAUGGGGAGGAGCUGGAAUUCCUGGUGUAGGGGUGAAAUCUGUAGAUAUCAGGAAGAACACCGGUAGCGAAGGCGAGCUUCUAUGAAUGGACUGACGCUGAGGCGCGAAAGCGUGGGGAGCGAACAGGAUUAGAUACCCUGGUAGUCCACGCUGUAAACGAUGUGCACUAGGUAUGUGGUACAUGAAGUAUUGUGUGCCGUAGCAAACGCGAUAAGUGCACCGCCUGGGGAGUAUGCCCGCAAGGGUGAAACUCAAAGGAAUUGACGGGCCCCCGCACAAGCGGUGGAGCAUGUGGUUUAAUUCGAUGCUACGCGAGGAACCUUACCAGGGUUUGACAUGUGCAUGGAUGCCGUAGAGAUGCGGCAGUCCGCUACGCGGACGUGCACACAGGUGCUGCAUGGCUGUCGUCAGCUCGUGUCGUGAGAUGUUGGGUUAAGUCCCGCAACGAGCGCAACCCCUACCGUCUGUUGCCAUCGGGUUAUGCCGGGCACUCUGGCGGAACUGCCGGUGACAAACCGGAGGAANGUGGGGACGACGUCAAGUCAUCAUGGNCCUUAUGUCCUGGGCUACACACGUGCUACAAUG
rnacentral:rRNA from 1 species